rnacentral:rRNA from 1 species
UACAGAGGGUGCGAGCGUUGUUCGGAAUUAUUGGGCGUAAAGGGCGCGUAGGCGGUGCGGUAAGUCACCUGUGAAAUCUCCUGGCUCAACUGGGAGCUUGCAGGCGAAACUGCCGUGCUGGAGUGUGGGAGAGGUGCGUGGAAUUCCUGGUGUAGCGGUGAAAUGCGUAGAUAUCUGGAGGAACACCGGUGGCGAAGGCGGCAUUCUGGACCGACAUUGACGCUGAGGAGCGAAAGCCAGGGGAGCAAACGGG